AGUGAACGCUGGCGGUAGGCCCAACACAUGCAAGUCGAGCGGCAGCACAGUAAGAGCUUGCUCUUACGGGUGGCGAGUGGCGGACGGGUGAGGAAUACAUCGGAAUCUACUUUUUCGUGGGGGAUAACGUAGGGAAACUUACGCUAAUACCGCAUACGACCUACGGGUGAAAGCAGGGGAUCUUCGGACCUUGCGCGAUUGAAUGAGCCGAUGUCGGAUUAGCUAGUUGGCGGGGUAAAGGCCCACCAAGGCGACGAUCCGUAGCUGGUCUGAGAGGAUGAUCAGCCACACUGGAACUGAGACACGGUCCAGACUCCUACGGGAGGCAGCAGUGGGGAAUAUUGGACAAUGGGCGCAAGCCUGAUCCAGCCAUACCGCGUGGGUGAAGAAGGCCUUCGGGUUGUAAAGCCCUUUUGUUGGGAAAGAAAAGCAGCAGGUUAAUACCCCGCUGUUCUGACGGUACCCAAAGAAUAAGCACCGGCUAACUUCGUG
rnacentral:rRNA from 1 species